AGAGCGAACGCUGGCGGCAGGCCUAACACAUGCAAGUCGAGCGCCCGUAGCAAUACGGGAGCGGCAGACGGGAUAGUAACACGUGGGAACGCGCCCUUCGGUUCGGAAUAACUCAGGGAAACUUGAGCUAAUACCGAAUACGCCCUUACGGGGAAAGAUUUAUUGCUGAAGGAUCGGCCCGCGUCUGAUUAGCUUGUUGGUGAGGUAAUGGCUCACCAAGGCUACGAUCAGUAGCUGGUCUGAGAGGAUGAUCAGCCUCACUGGGACUGAGACACGGCCCAGACUCCUACGGGAGGCAGCAGUGGGGAAUAUUGGACAAUGGGCGCAAGCCUGAUCCAGCCAUGCCGCGUGGGUGAUGAAGGCCCUAGGGUUGUAAAGCCCUUUCGGCGGGAAGAUAAUGACGGUACCCGCAGAAGAAGCCCCGGCUAACUUCGUGCCAGCAGCCGC
rnacentral:rRNA from 1 species